rnacentral:rRNA from 1 species
UAGGGAAUCUUCCACAAUGGACGCAAGUCUGAUGGAGCAACGCCGCGUGAGUGAAGAAGGUCUUCGGAUCGUAAAGCUCUGUUGUUGGUGAAGAAGGAUAGAGGCAGUAACUGGUCUUUAUUUGACGGUAAUCAACCAGAAAGUCACGGCUAACUACGUGCCAGCAGCCGCGGUAAUACGUAGGUGGCAAGCGUUGUCCGGAUUUAUUGGGCGUAAAGCGAGCGCAGGCGGAAUGAUAAGUCUGAUGUGAAAGCCCACGGCUCAACCGUGGAACUGCAUCGGAAACUGUCAUUCUUGAGUGCAGAAGAGGAGAGUGGAACUCCAUGUGUAGCGGUGGAAUGCGUAGAUAUAUGGAAGAACACCAGUGGCGAAGGCGGCUCUCUGGUCUGCAAACUGACGCUGAGGCUCGAAAGCAUGGGUAGCGAACAGGAUUAGAUACCCUGGUAGUCCAUGCCGUAAACGAUGAGCGCUAGGUGUUGGGGACUUUCCGGUCCUCAGUGCCACAGCAAACGCAUUAAGCGCUCCGCCUGGGGAGUACGACCGCAAGGUUGAA